UGCGGAGGGGGCUAGCGUUAUUCGGAAUUACUGGGCGUAAAGCGCACGUAGGCGGCUUUUUAAGUCAGGGGUGAAAUCCUGGAGCUCAACUCCAGAACUGCCUUUGAUACUGAGAAGCUUGAGUCCGGGAGAGGUGAGUGGAACUGCGAGUGUAGAGGUGAAAUUCGUAGAUAUUCGCAAGAACACCAGUGGCGAAGGCGGCUCACUGGCCCGGUACUGACGCUGAGGUGCGAAAGCGUGGGGAGCAAACAGGG
rnacentral:rRNA from 1 species